GAUGAAGAACGUAGCGAAAUGCGAUAAGUAAUGUGAAUUGCAGAAUUCAGUGAAUCAUCGAAUCUUUAAACGCACCUUGCGCCCUUUGGACAUUCCGAAGGGCAUGCCUGUUUGAGUAUCAUGAACACCUCAACUCUCACGGCUUGUCCGUGAUGAGCUUGGACUUUGGGGGUCUUGCCGGCCUGUGGUCGGCUCCUCUCAAAUGGAUCAGCUUGCCAGUGUUUGGUGGCAUCACAGGUGUGAUAACUAUCUGCGCUUGUGGUUUUCCAUCAGAUAACCUUCAGUGAUAUGGAGGUUCGCUGGAGCUCACAAAUGUCUCUCCUUAGUGAGGACAGCUCUUUGAACGUUUGAUCUCAAAUCAGGUAGGACUACCCGCUGAACUUAAGCAUAUCAAUAAGCGGAGGA
rnacentral:misc_RNA from 1 species